rnacentral:rRNA from 1 species
UACGUAGGGGGCAAGCGUUGUCCGGAUUUAUUGAGCGUAAAGAGCGUGUAGGCGGUUAGGUAGGUCCGUUGUGAAAACUCGAGGCUCAACCUCGAGACGCCGAUGGAAACCAUCUGACUAGAGUCCGGAAGAGGAGAGUGGAAUUCCGAGUGUAGAGGUGAAAUUCGUAGAUAUUCGGAAGAACACCAGUGGCGAAGGCGACUUACUGGACACAUAUUGACGCUGAGGUGCGAAAGCGUGGGGAGCAAACAGG